CAGAAAAGAAGGGAUUGUCCUCUUCUGAACCACUGCAGUCGGGAUCACCCCAGCUAGCCCUGCAGCUGUGGGACCCGAUGGUGUGACAAAGCAAGGCCUCUGGUCUGCCGAACACUGGGACCAGCACAGAGAGGCCCUGAGACCAUUGUGGAUCAUACCGACAGCUGCAGUCAGUGAGUUUCCCCGAGCUGAUCAGCACGUGGAAUUCCCUGCCUGCCCCAACUGUGCCCUGAUCUCCAAACUCCUUUGCAUCAUCGUGUCUCACAGCCCCAGGCGUCUCGCUGCGGUGCUGCUGGUGGCAGUGGGGAACUGCGGUGCUCCCGGGCAGUGCCAGAACUGCAUGGAGAUCUGUGGCUCUUCAUGAAGUCAGCAAGAAAUGGAAAGCUGGAUUUCCUAGAAUGCCCUGGGACCUGACUUUGCUGACUGGUAACUCACUGCCCAUACAGGUAAGGGCAAUGUACACGGACCAGUGUUUACCCAUUCCAUAGCGUGGCUCCACCUAAUGCUGCCAGAGCUCAUUACUGUGCUUUAGGGUUCCCUACAGGAUGCUGGUCCUCUUCCUCCUGCUUUCUCCUUGCCUCUGGCCUGUCUCAUCUAAUCCAGACAAGUCACCAUAAGAGUGCAACUCAGAGUGCAGUACAACUCAGAACCCAUUGAGACCCUGCACUUGUGGACCCUACACCUACACUGUAGUGUUGCUGCUCCCACCCCUCUCCCUCCCGUCUCCUGGGCACCAUUUCUAAGCUAGCUCUGCAGCUCUGGAACUUGAUGCUUUGAAGAAGGAAGGACCUCAGACUCAACUUAGUUGACUGGCUGCCCUGAUAGGUAAGGGCAAU